rnacentral:rRNA from 1 species
AGCGAACGCUGGCGGCAGGCCUAACACAUGCAAGUCGAACGGACCCUUCGGGGUUAGUGGCGGACGGGUGAGUAACACGUGGGAACGUGCCCUUUGGUUCGGAAUAGCUCCUGGAAACGGGUGGUAAUGCCGAAUGUGCCCUUCGGGGGAAAGAUUUAUCGCCAUUGGAGCGGCCCGCGUCUGAUUAGCUAGUUGGUAGUGUAACGGACUACCAAGGCGACGAUCAGUAGCUGGUCUGAGAGGAUGAUCAGCCACAUUGGGACUGAGACACGGCCCAAACUCCUACGGGAGGCAGCAGUGGGGAAUCUUGCGCAAUGGGCGAAAGCCUGACGCAGCCAUGCCGCGUGGAUGAUGAAGGUCUUAGGAUUGUAAAAUCCUUUCACCGGUGAAGAUAAUGACUGUAGCCGGAGAAGAAGCCCCGGCUAACUUCGUGCCAGCCGCCGCAGUAACAC